UCAUUGGAGAGUUUGAUCCUGGCUCAGGACGAACGCUGGCGGCGUGCUUAACACAUGCAAGUCGAACGGAAAGGCCCCUUUGGGGGUACUCGAGUGGCGAACGGGUGAGUAACACGUGAGUAACCUGCCCUUGACUUCGGGAUAACUUCAGGAAACUGGGGCUAAUACCGGAUAGGAAUCCUUGCUGCAUGGUGGGGGUUGGAAAGCUUCGGCGGUUUUGGAUGGACUCGCGGCUUAUCAGCUUGUUGGUGGGGUAGUGGCUUACCAAGGCUUUGACGGGUAGCCGGCCUGAGAGGGCGACCGGCCACAUUGGGACUGAGAUACGGCCCAGACUCCUACGGGAGGCAGCAGUGGGGAAUAUUGCACAAUGGGCAGAAGAAGCACCGGCUAACUACGUGCCAGCAGCCGCGGUGAUACGUAGGGUGCGAGCGUUGUCCGGAUUUAUUGGGCGUAAAGAGCUCGUAGGUGGUUGAUUGCGUCGGAAGUGAAAACUUGGGGCUUAACCCUGAGCGUGCUUUCGAUACGGGUUGACUUGAGGAAGGUAGGGGAGAAUGGAAUUCCUGGUGGAGCGGUGGAAUGCGCAGAUAUCAGGAGGAACACCAGUGGCGAAGGCGGUUCUCUGGACCUUUCCUGACGCUGAGGAGCGAAAGCGUGGGGAGCGAACAGGCUUAGAUACCCUGGUAGUCCACGCUGUAAACGGUGGGUACUAGGUGUGGGGUCCAUUCCACGGAUUCCGUGCCGUAGCUAACGCAUUAAGUACCCCGCCUGGGGAGUACGGCCGCAAGGCUAAAACUCAAAGGAAUUGACGGGGCCCCGCACAAGCGGCGGAGCAUGCGGAUUAAUUCGAUGCAACGCGAAGAACCUUACCUGGGUUUGACAUGGACUGGGAGUGCUCAGAGAUGGGUACGCCUCCUUGUGGGGCUGGUUCACAGGUGGUGCAUGGCUGUCGUCAGCUCGUGUCGUGAGAUGUUGGGUUAAGUCCCGCAACGAGCGCAACCCUCGUUCACUGUUGCCAGCACGUUAUGGUGGGGACUCAGUGGAGACCGCCGGGGUCAACUCGGAGGAAGGUGGGGAUGACGUCAAGUCAUCAUGCCCCUUAUGUCCAGGGCUUCACGCAUGCUACAAUGGCCGGUACAAAGAGUUGCGAGCCUGUGAGGGUGAGCGAAUCUCGGAAAGCCGGUCUCAGUUCGGAUUGGGGUCUGCAACUCGACCCUAUGAAGUCGGAGUCGCUAGUAAUCGCAGAUCAGCAACGCUGCGGUGAAUACGUUCCCGGGGCUUGUACACACCGCCCGUCAAGUCAUGAAAGUCGGUAACACCCGAAGCCGGUGGCCUAACCUGUGUGGGGGAGCCGUCGAAGGUGGGACUGGUAAUUAGGACUAAGUCGUAACAAGGUAGCCGUACCGGAAGGUGCGGCUGGAUCACCUCCUUU
rnacentral:rRNA from 1 species